GAGUAACGCGUUGGUGACCUGCCCCGAAGUGUGGGAUACCAGUUCGAAAGGACUGCUAAUACCGCAUGUGGUUUACGGCUUCAGAAACCGUAAUCUAAAGCAGCGAUGCGCUUGGGAGGGGCCUGCGUCCCAUCAGCUAGUUGGUAAGGUAAUGGCUUACCAAGGCGACGACGGGUAGGGGACCUGAGAGGGUGGCCCCCCACACUGGCACUGAAACACGGGCCAGACACCUACGGGUGGCAGCAGUAGGGAAUAUUGGGCAAUGGGCGAAAGCCUGACCCAGCAACGCCGCGUGCACGAUGAAGGCCUUCGGGUUGUAAAGUGCUUUUUGGGGUGACGAGUAAGGACGGUAACCCCGGAAUAAGGAUCGGCUAACUACGUGCCAGCAGCCGCGGUAAAACGUAGGAUCCGAGCGUUAUCCGAAUUCACUGGGCGUAAAGCGCGUGCAGGCGGCUCGUUAAGUUGGAUAUGAAAUCUCUUGGCUCAACUGGGAGAGGCUGUUCAAUACUGGCGAGCUCGAGGACGGUAGAGGGAGGUGGAAUUCCCGGUGUAGUGGUGAAAUGCGUAGAUAUCGGGAGGAACACCAGUGGCGAACGCGGCUUCCUGGGCUGUUCCUGACGCUGAGGCGCGAAAGCGUGGGUAGCAAACGGAUUAGAUACCCUGGUAGUCCACGCCGUAAACUAUGGACACUAGGUAUGGGGGUAUCGACCCCCUCCGUGCCGGAGUUAACGCUAUAAGUGUCCCGCCUGGGGAGUACGGCCGCAAGGCUAAAACUCAAAGGAAUUGACGGGGGCCCGCACAAGCAGCGGAGCGUGUGGUUUAAUUCGACGCAACGCGAAGAACCUUACCAAGACUUGACAUAUACCUGAAAGGCAGAGAAGUCUGCCCCUCCUUCGGGACGGGUAUACAGAUGCUGCAUGGCUGUCGUCAGCUCGUGCAGUGAGGUGUUGGGUUAAGUCCCGCAACGAGCGCAACCCUCGUUGUCAGUUGAUUUCUCUGGCAAGACUGCCCUUUAGAAGGGGAGGAAGGUGGGGAUGACGUCAAGUCAGCACGGCUCUUACGUCUUGGGCUACACACACGCUACAAUGAGUAGUACAGAGGGUUGCCCAGGAGCGAUCCGGAGCUAAUCCCAUCAAAACUAUCCCAGUUCGGAUUGGAGGCU
rnacentral:rRNA from 1 species